GGACAUCUUUAGCACUUGCUUUCCAUGAUGAACCGAUGGUGCAGAGUAACUAUAAAUUCGUGAUGCUUGUUGGAGUGGUCGUGGACUUUUGAAAUCAUUUAUGAAGCUUCAUACUAACUGAUACAAUGGUAAAUGUCAAAUCAAAAGGAUUACAUACAAUUAUAGAUCCGUAUUAUCGCAGUCAUUUAUUAUGUAAACUCACGUGGACAGUAAAUAGACUUCAAACUUGUAUCGGAGGAAUUUUUCUAAGGGCAUUUGCUCCAUAUACAGAUAUUAGAGGAAAUAAUGACAAAUACUUGGUUUUGAGCCUAGUAACGACAAGCAAAAAUGAAAGAUUAGCAGAAAUACCGUUUUCUUUAGACUUAAUUCUCUGAGACUCCUAAUGGAAAUAAAUUUUCACAAACAUUUUCAUACAUAAGUGGCCAGGUUAUGAUGAAUGAAAGUAUUUUGGUUGAAUGAGCGGCCAUCAGAUUGGUAAUGAACGGUAUCAAUGAAUAACAAAUCAAUUCCUUAGGGUACUGUUCGUGAGCAAAUUAUUGAUCCGAGUAACGAAAUUGAGCUAAGUUAGGGUUUUGUCCUUGAGCAAAGUUAUUGAACUGAAAAGAAAAGUUGAGCCUUAAAAACACCAGGAAUUUCAUUUAGGCUAACAGAUAUGAUUGUAG
rnacentral:lncRNA from 1 species